UACUAGGAGGACGGUCUGUAC
rnacentral:siRNA from 1 species